rnacentral:lncRNA from 1 species
CUCAGUCGACAUUCUCAAAUACUGUCAUAAAACAAGGGUUAAUUAAGGAAAUCAAUAUAUCACAUAAUAUCCCUAUAUACUAACCAACUAACAAAUAAGCUUAGGUAGGACACACUAGCGAAGGAUUUACUCGUCUCUCCCCUCCUAGUUCUAUUCCUCGAUCUCCGCCAGAGAUCAUAUCCCUAAGCUCUGAUACCAACUGUGAC